GAUGAACGCUAGCUACAGGCUUAACACAUGCAAGUCGAGGGACCGGCGCACGGGUAAGUAACACGUAUCCAACCUGCCCUUUACUCGGGGAUAGACUUUCGAAAGAAAGAUUAAUACCCGAUAUAAAGGAUGGGGAUGGGUUCCAUUAGGUUGUUGGUGAGGGAACGGCCCACCAAGACUUCGAUGGCUAGGGGUUCUGAGAGGAAGGCCCCCCACAUUGGAACUGAGACCCGGUCCAAACUCCUACGGGAGGCAGGGGGGAGGAAGGUUGGUCACUGGGCGUUAGCCUGAACCAGCCAAGUAGCGUGAAGAGUGAUGGCUUAUGGGUAGUAAACUUCUUUUAUAUAAGAAUAUGUAUUAUAUGAAUAAGGAUCGGCUAACUCCGUGCCAGCAGCCGCGGUAAUUC
rnacentral:rRNA from 1 species